CAGGCUUAACACAUGCAAGUCGAGGGGCAGCAUUUCAGUUUGCUUGCAAACUGGAGAUGGCGACCGGCGCACGGGUGAGUAACACGUAUCCAACCUGCCGAUAACUCGGGGAUAGCCUUUCGAAAGAAAGAUUAAUACCCGAUGGUAUAAUCAGACCGCAUGGUCUUGUUAUUAAAGAAUUUCGGUUAUCGAUGGGGAUGCGUUCCAUUAGGCAGUUGGUGAGGUAACGGCUCACCAAACCUUCGAUGGAUAGGGGUUCUGAGAGGAAGGUCCCCCACAUUGGAACUGAGACACGGUCCAAACUCCUACGGGAGGCAGCAGUGAGGAAUAUUGGUCAAUGGGCGCAGGCCUGAACCAGCCAAGUAGCGUGAAGGAUGACUGCCCUAUGGGUUGUAAACUUCUUUUAUAUGGGAAUAAAGUUUUCCACGUGUGGAAUUUUGUAUGUACCAUAUGAAUAAGGAUCGGCUAACUCCGUGCCAGCAGCCGCGGUAAUACGGAGGAUCCGAGCGUUAUCCGGAUUUAUUGGGUUUAAAGGGAGCGUAGGUGGACAGUUAAGUCAGUUGUGAAAGUUUGCGGCUCAACCGUAAAAUUGCAGUUGAUACUGGCUGUCUUGAGUACAGUAGAGGUGGGCGGAAUUCGUGGUGUAGCGGUGAAAUGCUUAGAUAUCACGAAGAACUCCGAUUGCGAAGGCAGCUCACUGGACUGCAACUGACACUGAUGCUCGAAAGUGUGGGUAUCAAACAGGAUUAGAUACCCUGGUAGUCCACACAGUAAACGAUGAAUACUCGCUGUUUGCGAUAUACAGUAAGCGGCCAAGCGAAAGCAUUAAGUAUUCCACCUGGGGAGUACGCCGGCAACGGUGAAACUCAAAGGAAUUGACGGGGGCCCGCACAAGCGGAGGAACAUGUGGUUUAAUUCGAUGAUACGCGAGGAACCUUACCCGGGCUUAAAUUGCAUUUGAAUAUAUUGGAAACAGUAUAGCCGUAAGGCAAAUGUGAAGGUGCUGCAUGGUUGUCGUCAGCUCGUGCCGUGAGGUGUCGGCUUAAGUGCCAUAACGAGCGCAACCCUUAUCUUUAGUUACUAACAGGUCAUGCUGAGGACUCUAGAGAGACUGCCGUCGUAAGAUGUGAGGAAGGUGGGGAUGACGUCAAAUCAGCACGGCCCUUACGUCCGGGGCUACACACGUGUUACAAUGGGGGGUACAGAAGGCAGCUACCUGGUGACAGGAUGCUAAUCCCAAAAGCCUCUCUCAGUUCGGAUCGAAGUCUGCAACCCGACUUCGUGAAGCUGGAUCCGCUAGUAAUCGCGCAUCAGCCAUGGCGCGGUGAAUACGUUCCCGGGCCUUGUACACACCGCCCGUCAAGCCAUGAAAGCCGGGGGUACCUGAAGUACGUAACCGCAAGGAGCGUCCUAGGGUAAAACUGGUAAUUGGGGC
rnacentral:rRNA from 1 species